GUGGGGAAUAUUGCACAAUGGGCGCAAGCCUGAUGCAGCCAUGCCGCGUGUAUGAAGAAGGCCUUCGGGUUGUAAAGUACUUUCAGCGGGGAGGAAGGUGUUGUGGUUAAUAACCACAGCAAUUGACGUUACCCGCAGAAGAAGCACCGGCUAACUCCGUGCCAGCAGCCGCGGUAAUACGGAGGGUGCAAGCGUUAAUCGGAAUUACUGGGCGUAAAGCGCACGCAGGCGGUCUGUCAAGUCGGAUGUGAAAUCCCCGGGCUCAACCUGGGAACUGCAUUCGAAACUGGCAGGCUGGAGUCUUGUAGAGGGGGGUAGAAUUCCAGGUGUAGCGGUGAAAUGCGUAGAGAUCUGGAGGAAUACCGGUGGCGAAGGCGGCCCCCUGGACAAAGACUGACGCUCAGGUGCGAAAGCGUGGGGAGCAAACAGGAUUAGAAACCCUUGUAGUCC
rnacentral:rRNA from 1 species